GGCGUCAAGGCUCAAGUGUAACUCAUGGAAACCACUGAAGAAUUUCAAACAAAGAAGCAAUUUGAUCAGAUUGUGAUCUUCAAAAGCCAGUUUUGAGGGUGGGGAGGAGGAAAUGUGUAAAGACUGAAGGGCUAACGUCUAAUUUUCACAGGAUGAACAUCAAAAUCAACUUUUCAAAGGAAACAGCGCAGACGUCCCAGCACAGCACUUACAGGUGACGUACCGUGGGGUCAGCAUAAGUAAUCCCCAACUAGUCCACUUGUGCAAAGACAGCUGUCCUCACAAGCUACCUACAGAGCAUCUUCCCCACUCACUCUUCAUAUAGCAAACAGCAGCCACACAGCAGCAGCUCAUUAGGCUGUUUUUCUGCCACUAAAAAUGACGACUAGAAGUGAGGUGGAGAAUCCCCAUUAUAUAAAGCUGACCCAGGAAGCCGUUAAUCCGUAACUUUGUAUACAGUAAGUAGAAAAAGGACAUAACACAACAAUCUAGAAAGAAAUUUCUCAAAGUGAUAAAUAUGGUUAUGUUGGCAUGUUAAAAACUGCUGUUGUAGUUGUGCUGUUAACAGAUUUAUA